rnacentral:misc_RNA from 1 species
CCACCCGCCUACACCCACACCCACACACCGGCGGAUAUACACACCACAUACGACAACGUUGCUCGUGCUGUGUGUCGAGAGGAGCGGCGGAUGCACUUGCUCUUUCCUUCCCUUUUUUUUGUAUUCUCUGUGUAGCCGCUUCUCUGCUCUUGAGGGGUCUUUGCGGUCUGCGCGUGCGUGUGCAGACUUCCGUAUUCAGACCGUGAGAGAUUGCCACCGCCGCGACCGCACCCCUUCCCUCCCUUCCACUCCCAGCGCGCUCACACGCAGAAGAGUCAGCUCUUUUUUUCUUCUGGGCUCCUCUUGACCGGCAAGAUGUACGCGUCACUUGGGAUAUCGUCCGAGCAGGUGUACGGCGACAUGUACACGGCAUGGCUGCGCGAUACACAUGAGAAGAACACACCAGAAGUGAAGCGGCUUUACACGACCACAAUCGAGAAUGGAUUCGGUGAUCAGAAAAUCUUGCUGCGCCGGCAGCGGCUCGGCGCCAACUUCAUCAGCAGCCUUGCCCCGUUGCUACACCAGUGCUCGUUGGUGAAGCUUGACCUCCAUGGCAACAUGUUGCGCGAUGUCGGGUGUGAGAUGCUUAUUCAUGUGUUGCGGGAUGCGCCACAGCUGACGUAUCUUGACCUAGGGGCAAACGCCAUCGGCUGCUCUUCGGUCGUGGCGAGCGGCAUCAGCGGCGGCGGCGGCGGCGGCACGGUUUUUAAGGGCAAAGGUAGUGGUAGAGGCAGCCCAGCUGGCACCCUUGCCUCUCGCAGGGGUGGAGCGGGGAGCAGUGGCGGCGCGGGUGGUAGUGGCGCUCGUGUCAGCAGUAGCUAUCUCAACGCCAUGCAGGGUCUCGGCAACGCUAUCGCGCAGCACAAACGUCUGGCGGUGCUCAUCCUCGGCUCUGAAAGGGAGGAGGCCUAUGCGAAUCAGAUUGAGGCCAUCGGUGCCAUGCUGCUGCUCGAAGGCUGCGUGCUGAGCCGCACGCUGAAGCGGCUCGAUCUAAGCGGCAACCCCUUUGCUAUGGACGGCGACACUCCGUCUGCUGGCGCGGUGCCGGGGUCCCUUGCAGCGAUUGGAGGCGCUGCUGCCGGCACCCGCGUCGGUAGUGCGUCGACACCAGGAAUGGACACGGCUGCAGCAAGGGGCGGCGGCGCUUAUGGGAUGCGUUCUGCCCCGCGCACUCCGGUGCAGCUAAUCGCCCAGCUUCUGCGGACGUCUGUGACGCUCACACAUUUGACGCUGCAAUCGGUGUGCCUCACCGAUGGCGGGGCGGCACACCUCUUUGAGGCCGCUGGCGCCAGCCGCACACUCCAGCAUCUCAACCUAAGCGCUAACGGCCUCUCCUCUCAUGUCGCUGAUGAGGCCGGCAGACUACUGCAGCAGCGCACCGCGGUCGCGCGUGGUGGCGCCUUGGGCUGCACGCUGCAUUCGUUAGUGCUGGCACACAACGAUCUGUGGGACAACGGCGCCGCAGCGGCACAGGCGCAUCGAGGCAGCUUGGGCAUCGGCGCCGCCGCUGCGGCCCGGCCGGCGACGUGUGAUGGCAUCGGGCUACACAACCGUGCGCAGAGUACGACGGCGAUGACCUUGACGCCAACGUCGUCGCCGUCGAAGUUUGUCGACCGCACGCGCGCCUUGCGGGAUGGCACUCACGGCGAAACUGACGAUGCUUCUCAGUCGGGAUAUCACUCUCAGCAGCAGCAGCAGCAGCGCGACCCCUCUCCAGGGAUCGUCCUCCUGCUCGCUCUGAGCCACGAUCAGUUCAUUACUACUCUCAUUCUGGACGACUGCGUGAUGGACGACACGGCGCUCUACACUCUCUGCCAGUCGCUCAUGACAAACGCGAUGCUCAAGGUACUCUCGAUGCGGCACAACAACCUCUCUCCCGAUGGCGUUGUUCAGCUCGGCCGCUCCUUGUGCCGCCAUCCCUGCCUAGAGCGGCUUCUCCUGUCCGGCAAUGCAAUCGAGGACGAGGGCGCCUGCGCCCUUGCCACGGCCCUUGGCCAGCCUGAUGCGCCGUUGGUCGAGCUGGACCUCGUCAAGACGUGGCUGGGCGAUCGCGGGCUGAUGGCGAUUGGCGUGGCGCUGCAGACCAACACUUCGCUGCGCGUGCUGCGCGUCUCGGACAACCACUUCACUCACAACGGCGGCGCCUCCUUCGCGGCGCUGCUGGAGAGCAACAGCUACGUUGUGCAGUGUGAGUUGGGGGCGACAAGCGUGCCGCAUCACAUUUUGCUGCGGGUGGAGCGGACGACGGCGCGCAACUGCACCCGCGCCGCAAACGCAGACGCUGACGCGCUCAAGGCGGAGGUGGUGCGCCUCCACUACCAGAAGUAUAAGCUGUCAGAGGCGCACCUGGAGCUGGAGGCGCUGCGAGAGAACAACACCGAGGUGAAGCGCACCAUCGAGAACUUCGACCUGCAGACCAAGCAGGACCACAGCGACUUCCUGAAGCGCAUUCGCGAACUCGAGGAGCACAUCGAGAAUGCAAAGCAGCAGGAGGCGCGAUAUACGGAGCAGAAGGCGAAACUGGAGGCAGACCUGACCAAGGCGGAGCGAGCCCACGAGGUGGAUAUGACCUACAUGGCGGAGCGGCUCUCCGUCGAAGUCGGUCUGCGCGAGAAGGCCGAGGCGGAACUUCAACAACGGCAACGGGAGCUGACUUACUGGCAAGAAAAAGGGCCGGAGAGGGAGGCGCAGAAGCGGGAGCAGCUCGCGGCGCUGAAGGCGGAUCAAGAGGCGUGGUCCUCGCAGCGCAAGGCGUACCGCGAUCGCACGGCCGAGCUCCAGCAGCAGGUUUCCACGCUCGAGGCGGCUGCGGCGAGCGCGGGCGCGUCAAGAGGUAUGCCCAAGAGGCGCAAGAAGUCCACAAUGGUGUGAGGGAAGCCAGUGUGCUGGUGCGAUCUUGCGCGUGUCGGCGAUGGUGAUGUUUGCUGAGGGAGUUCGUUUGGGGUGCCUUCGGCUCCUCUUUGUAUUUUCUACGAUGUUUCGGUUUUUUUUUCCCGAGGAUUCUUUUUUUUUUUUCGGCUUCGCUACGCUCUCACACUCAAUGUCCUUGCCUUGGGCUGUGCACCGCCUUCUCCUCCUUCUCCUCCUUCUCCCCCGCUGCGCUGGAGCUGGAUGUGGUGUCGAAAUGAAUGGCGCGUUCAGCGCUCUGCACGGCACGUGCGCAUCCCUCUCUUCGUUCGUAUCAUGUAAACUAGGCAUGUGUGUGUGUGUGCGUGCGUGCGUGCGUCUCUCUCUCUUCUUCCGAGUGUGAUAGCAGACCUCUGACGCGCUUUCGCGGUUGAGAAGCGGGAUGCCGACACCACCCGGUGUUCUUCGCUUCUUCCUCCACAGUUUUCUCACGCUCUUUUUUGUGUGACGCCGCAG